GAUGAACGCUGGCGGCGUGCCUAAUACAUGCAAGUCGAGCGAACGGACGAGAAGCUUGCUUCUCUGAUGUUAGCGGCGGACGGGUGAGUAACACGUGGAUAACCUACCUAUAAGACUGGGAUAACUUCGGGAAACCGUAGCUAAUACCGGAUCAUAUUUUGAACCGCAUGGUUCAAAAGUGAAAGACGGUCUUGCUGUCACUUAUAGAUGGAUCCGCGCUGCAUUAGCUAGUUGGUAAGGUAACGGCUUACCAAGGCAACGAUGCAUAGCCGACCUGAGAGAGUGAUCGGCCACACUGGAACUGAGACACGGUCCAGACUCCUACGGGAGGCAGCAGUAGGGAAUCUUCCGCAGUGGGCGAAAGCCUGACGGAGCAACGCCGCGUGAGUGAUGAAGGUCUUCGGAUCGUAAAACUCUGUUAUUAGGGAAGAACAUAUGUGUAAGGAACUGUGCACAUCGUGACGGUACCUAAUCAGAAAGCCACGGCUAACUACGUG
rnacentral:rRNA from 1 species